UGAGAGUAGCACUCACUCUAUAGAAAUCCUUGUUAGGAUGAAUAUUAAAACACUAACAUAUACAUAUGGGGCUAAUUCCCAAUAAAACUCUGUUCCUAAACUGGAACCUUGAUUUGAUAUUCAAAAUUAAUUACUUUAAUAAUCCAGAAUAAUUCAAUACUCUUGGAUUAACACCUAAACCUAUAUAAAAUAUUACAAACAUGAACCAUCUGUGUAUUAGGCUGGGGUUGUUGGGUGUGGGUAUAGGUUGGAAGCUAUGGUUGGUAUUGAGGAAUCUGUGGGGGUGGGUUUGGGCACUCAUUUUUCCAGUGACCCUGCUAUCCACAAUUAGAACAGUGUGUUCCACCAAUGCUGAAGUUGUUACCUCUACAAAAGUUAGACCCUUUGACCAAAUCCUCUACCUCUGCCUUUAUUCCAUAUGUAGGAUGGGAUUACCUAACUCACACCCCCCUCUUUGUGUACCACACAGAUAUGAUAUUAAUAAGCUUUUAAAGGCUGAAUGGAUAGUUAAAUUUUGUAUAUAAAGCAAGGUUGUCUAGGGGUAUAUACAUCAACAAUGAAAGCAUAGCCUUCAUAUAGGGCUUGCAAUACUGACAGUCUGUGUCAUGAGCGUAAUGCAGACAUGCGGUUAGGUACUUUUCCAUUAUUAUAAUAUAUUGAAAACACUAAGACCUUGCAAAUUUUUAAAACACAUAUUGCUACCUGUACCUGGUGCCAUGCAAGGAUGUAAUUGGGACAUAUUUCAAAUUGAGUAUCAAAAGUCUAACCACAAAACUAAAUGUUAUACGCUUAUCAAGAAAACAAGUUUAACCCGUUAGUGCGUACUUUGGAUAGCCUCUUUGCAUAAAUUGGCACGUAGUGAGAUUAUUAUAUUAUUUAUUAAUGCUCUUCUGGAUCUGCAAAAUGCUUUCAAUUUACCCAUACAAAUAUAAUACAGUAGUUUAGGCGAUUAAAAUUACCUCACUUAUAAAUUUCCGUAUUGUCUAAUCUCCAAUAAAAAUACCAUGUUAUUAUUACCCCAUAAUCAAGGUGGCAUACUAGAUGAAUCUUACUUUGACACAAACAAUGCAAUAUACUUUAAAAGUAGAGUUAACUCUGAGCUGGACAAUACUCCCCUAUUAGAACUCCUUUAUGAGGGAGAGACAUCUUGUCCAUUCAAUCCUUUUUAUCAGUAAAAGAAUGACUUUCAGGAUUAAUCAGUUUGCAAAUGGAAACGUGGACCCACGAUUUGAACAGCAGAAGUUUGCGGGGCCCCUUUCACGUGGGAUGUAACAAGCGCUUUUCGUGCUCCAGGAGCGAUAGCAUACAAUUGUUUCAUUCUAGCCGGCUGGACAGCAUUUCACCUUUUGUAAAAACACUAAAUGCUUGCGUUAAUGAUAUGCAAAUCACUCUGCUAGUUAAACUCCUACACAAUUGACAAUAAAAUACAUGAAACACAUAACACACCAAUUCAUUUCAAACCAUAUAACUCAUUCUCAGCAUCCAAUGUAAUAUUACAUGUCAUCUCACAAAAAAG